AUAUUAAAGCAGUAGAUUGCGGGAACUGCAGGAGGAGCUCAGGAGAAAUGAGACCUGCUGGAACACUGCCUAUGGCAAGCUAAGAGACCAGGCUGAAAUGCUGACUAGACAGAACAUGGAGCUUCGAGAUAAGCACAGAGUUUCAGAACAUCAGAGGCUGAAAGCAGAAACAAAAUGAGCUGUGAAUCUUGUGGACAGAAGACCGGAGUCUCCGGUUGCAGAAGCUAUUCUGCGAGAGUCAGCAUCUUCAUCCAAACAAGAAGAUCACGGAGAGAUAAACACAAGAGCCCCAUCAUCUCGCAUGUGGGGACAAAGGCAACAAAAAACUCUGUGCAAAAGGCUGAUCCUUUGAGAUUUGUAACAAAGGAACAUCAAGAAAAGAAACCAUCUAACUGCUCCCUUGGCAGAAGCACAGCACCAACUGGCAGGAGAACACCUCACCAGGGAAGAAUGACACCUUUUGAAUCAGAAAAAAGUCAGUCAGUGGCAAGGUGUAUUUAGGCAGCCUCUAUUUUCUGUUCACAGUAUUGUUCAGAAGGUGGAUUGGGAUCAUAUUUCUCACAAAGCUGCUGCCUAGUCUUCUUGCCCUGGUAUUGCACUGGUUUUGCCAGAAAUGAUCUUAUGGACUGCUCAUAC
rnacentral:lncRNA from 1 species